rnacentral:misc_RNA from 1 species
CGGCGGGCGCGCCGAAGCCGUUGAUCACGAUGUUCGCGCCCGCGCCCGCAAAGGCCCGCGCAUAGGCGAGACCGAUGCCGCUGGUCGAACCCGUCACCACCGCCGUCUUGCCGGAAAGAGUACCCAUUCGUCGCUCCUGUUCACUGCUUGAUANNNNNNNNNNGCAAAGAUCGUAGGUGACCAUUGAUUCAUCCGAUUGCGGCCGGUUCAGCCACUCCGGAUGGCUCAUCGAGGCGGAGACGUCGCGCUCGCCAGCAGCCCAG